AAUCUUGAGUAGUCGCGGUUAGCUAUAUGCUAGCUGAGGAAAGUCCACGCACGCACAAGCUGCGAUGCUUGUAGUGAUCGUAUUCAGCUCAAUAAGCUGGAGAAAAGUUUUGAAACUUUUACGGCGGAAAAAGUGCUAAAUCUUUUGACAUGCAUUACUAUCCUGAAAAGUGCCACAGUGACGC
rnacentral:RNase_P_RNA from 1 species